rnacentral:rRNA from 1 species
UGGGGAAUAUUGGACAAUGGGCGCAAGCCUGAUCCAGCAAUGCCGCGUGUGUGAAGAAGGCCUUCGGGUUGUAAAGCACUUUUAUCAGGAGCGAAACGCUGUCGGCUAAUACCCGGCGGAACUGACGGUACCUGAGGAAUAAGCACCGGCUAACUUCGUGCCAGCAGCCGCGGUAAUACGAAGGGUGCAAGCGUUAAUCGGAAUUACUGGGCGUAAAGCGUGCGUAGGCGGUUUCUUAAGUCUGCUGUGAAAUCCCCGGGCUCAACCUGGGAAUGGCAGUGGAUACUGGGAGGCUAGAGUGUGUCAGAGGGUGGUGGAAUUCCCGGUGUAGCGGUGAAAUGCGUAGAGAUCGGGAGGAACAUCAGUGGCGAAGGCGGCCACCUGGGACAACACUGACGCUGAGGCACGAAAGCGUGGGGAGCAAACAGGAUUAGAUACCCUGGUAGUCCACGCCCUAAAGCGAUGCGAACUGGAUGUUGGUCUCAACUCGGAGAUCAGUGUCGAAGCUAACGCGUUAAGUUCGCCGCCUGGGGAGUACGGUCGCAAGACUGAAACUCAAA